UGUUGAGAGAGUAUGCAAAACUCUUGAAAUUCAAACCUGAAAUACCUGCAGGAGGGGUUGAGCUUUGCUCAGAAUCAAUGGCAUGUCCAGAGGGAGGUUUACGGAGAAAGUUCAUGGUUGAGUCAAUGGUAGAUUCUCCUAGCGACGCACUUCCAUGCACCAUGCCUCCUCCAUUCGAUCCUCCAGCCCUCGAAGCCCUCUUUGACAGGAAUGAAAAUAUCACAAGACAAGUAGUGAUGUGGCAGAAUGAAUAUUGGGAAAAUCUGAACAAGAAUCAAUCGAGCCCUCAUCAUCAUUAAUCU
rnacentral:misc_RNA from 1 species